rnacentral:rRNA from 1 species
CCUACGGGAGGCAGCAGUGGGGAAUAUUGCGCAAUGGGGGAAACCCUGAUGCAGCGACGCCGCGUGAGGGAAGAAGUAUUUCGGUAUGUAAACUUCUGUCGGCAGGGAAGAACAUGACGGUGCCUGACUGAGAGGCCCCGGCUAACUACGUGCCAGCAGCCGCGGUAAUACGUAGGGGGCAAAGGUUAUCCGGAUUUACUGGGUGAAAAGGGAGCGGAGGCGGUUCAGAAAGCCAGAAGUGAAAGCCCGGGGCUCAACUCCGGGACUGCUUUUGAAACUGUUGAACUAGAUUGCAGUAGAGGUAAGUGGAAUGCAUAGUGUAGCGGGGAAAUGCGUAGAUAUUAGGAGGAACACCAGUGGCGAAGGCGGCCUACUGGACUGUAAAUGACGCUGAGGCUCGAAAGCGUGGGAGCAAACAGGAUUAGAUACCCUGGUAGUC